UACGUAGGGGGCUAGCGUUGUCCGGAAUCAUUGGGCGUAAAGAGCGUGUAGGCGGCCCGGUAAGUCCGCUGUAAAAGUCAAAGGCUCAACCUUUGAAUGUCAGUGGAUACUGCCGGGCUAGAGUCCGGAAGAGGCGAGUGGAACUCCUGGUGUAGCGGUGGAAUGCGCAGAUGUCAGGAAGAACACCAACGGCGAAGGCAGCUCGCUGGGACGGUACUGACGCUGAGGCGCGAAAGCGUGGGGAGCGAACAGG
rnacentral:rRNA from 1 species